rnacentral:rRNA from 1 species
GUGGGGGAUAUUGCACAAUGGAGGAAACUCUGAUGCAGCGACGCCGCGUGAGUGAAGAAGUAUUUCGGUAUGUAAAGCUCUAUCAGCAGGGAAGAUAAUGACAGUACCUGACUAAGAAGCCCCGGCUAACUACGUGCCAGCAGCCGCGGUAAUACGUAGGGGGCAAGCGUUAUCCGGAUUUACUGGGUGUAAAGGGAGCGUAGACGGAAUGGCAAGUCUGAAGUGAAAUCCUGCGGCUUAACUGCAGAAUUGCUUUGGAAACUGUCAAUCUGGAGUGUUGGAGAGGUAAGCGGAAUUCCUGGUGUAGCGGUGAAAUGCGUAGAUAUCAGGAAGAACACCGGAGGCGAAGGCGGCUUACUGGACAAUAACUGACGUUGAGGCUCGAAAGCGUGGGAAGCAAACAGGAUUAGAUACCCGUGUAGUCC